rnacentral:misc_RNA from 1 species
AAAGUCGUAACAAGGUUUCCGUAGGUGAACCUGCGGAAGGAUCAUUAAUGAUUUCCAAGUCGGUCAUUCUGUGCUGGCGAUACUAGUCUGUCGCAUGUGCACGGUGAUCGCAACAAACUCAAACCCUUUGUGAACCAAAAUCCUUCCAUUAGUUGGUGUUUUUGAUACUACUUUUGGUUGGUAUUUUUUCAUACACUCAGAAUGUGAUGAAAUGUCCUCUAGUGCUAUAUUGCACGAAUAUAUACAACUUUCAACAACGGAUCUCUUGGCUCUC